rnacentral:rRNA from 1 species
AACGCGAAGAACCUUACCCAGGCUCGAAAUGUAAUGGACAAUACCAGAGAUGGUAUGUUCCGCAAGGACUGUUAUAUAGGUGCUGCAUGGCUGUCGUCAGCUCGUGCCGUGAGGUGUUGGGUUAAGUCCCGCAACGAGCGCAACCCUUAUCAUUAGUUGCCAACACGCAAGGUGGGGACUCUAAUGAGACUGCCUGGGUUAACCAGGAGGAAGGUGAGGAUGAUGUCAAGUCCGCAUGGCCUUUAUGUCUGGGGCUACACACGUGCUACAAUGGUCGGUACAGAAGGCAGCAAGACCGCAAGGUGGAGCAAAUCCGAAAAGCCGAUCACAGUUCAGAUUGUAGUCUGCAACUCGACUACAUGAAGUUGGAAUUGCUAGUAAUGACGUGUCAGCAACAACGUCGUGAAUACGUUCCCGGGCCUUGUA